rnacentral:rRNA from 1 species
UACAGAGGCCUCGAGCGUUAGGCGGAAUCACUGGGCUUAAAGCGUGUGUAGGCGGAUUGGUAAGUACCUUGUGAAAUCCCACAGCUUAACUGUGGAACUGCUCGGUAUACUGCUGAUCUUGAGCCACUCAGGGGCUACCGGAACAAAUGGUGGAGCGGUGAAAUGCGUAGAUAUCGUAAGGAAGACCAGUGGCGAAGGCGGGUCUCUGGACAGUUCCUGACGCUGAGGCACGAAGGUCAGGGGAGCAAACGGG